AGGCUUCACCAGUGCAGUCUAUCAAGAGUCUCAUCUUGGCACCGACAAAAGAACUUUGUCAUCAGAUCUACCAAAAUGUUUUGCAGCUUACAAUCAAAUGCUCGAGGGAUGUUUGCUGCGUUGAUAUCUCACAGCAGGUGAACUUAAAUUUUGUAUUUUUUCAACUUUUACAAAGCUGUGCAUAAGGUUUAUAUUGCAUUAAAUUUUUCUGCAACAUUUAUUCAUGGGCGCAGGAUCAUCUUUCAUUAUACUUUUAGGAACAACGAAAGAGAGAAGCAAUCUCAAUGUUUAAAAUUUAGAGGAAAAUACUUCAACUAACACUCCAAAAAAUCUCAUAUUCUCGAGUGCUUUCUGAAAUAAUUACAUUCUUAAAAUCCAAUAUUUCUACAGUUCUUCUUAGUUGUUGCUUUGGACAAAUCCUUUGACGUAAAGGUUGCCUUAGAAACAAUGAAAUUUUGAUACGCUUGCAAUUUCCAUAAAGCAAGGAAAUUAAUGCAAGGAAUAGGUAAUUAAUUAUGAAAGUGAAGAGUUUUAUGGCAACAGAGCUGAUCAUUACAUUAAGACAAGAAUUUUAAGAACUGUUUCCACAUCUACUGUAGUAAACAAUGCACUUACAAUGCAGGUUUCAGGUGUAAGAGGAGCAGGUGAACUACAAUUCAAAGAAGCUUGGCCAUUAUGAACACUGGUGACUUCUUUAAUCUGUAAUUGAUUUUGUUUUGUAGCCUGAUGGUGCAGCACAGCACCGUUGCUGAUCGAGAAACCUGAUAUCAUUGUUAGCACACCAUCCAGAGUGCUGCACCACUUGAGAGAAAAACAUAUCAAACUAAGAAACUCUCUUGAACUUCUAGUCAUUGACGAAGCUGAUCUUCUAUUCUCCUUUGGUUAUGAGCAAGACCUGAAGCAGCUAUUAACCUUCUUGCCCUCUACUUUCCAAGGAACAUUAGCAUGCGCAACAUACACAGACGAUGUGGUGAAAUUGAAAAACUUAAUUCUUCCGAAUGCAGUGAUUUUGAACCUGAAAGAGCCAGAUUUGGCACCAGUCACUCAGUUGAGUCAUUACGUACGGCAUGCAGAAGAGGAAGAAAAGGCUGUCACGCUCCUUGUCUUACUCAAAUUGCAGCUGAUAAGGGCAAGACUAUAAACAUUCGUCAACAGAGUAGACCGCUGUUACAAGUUAAAAUUAUUUUUAGAACAGUUCGGAAUUAAAACCUGCAUUCUGAAUUCAGAACUACCAGCCUCAUCUCGGUGCCAUGCAAUAUCGCAGUUCAAUGAGAAUGUUUAUGAAAUCAUUAUUGCAUCCGAUGAAAAAGCAUUAGAACAAGUUUCUAAAGGGGAAAUUGUCACCAAAAGUGAGUAUCAGUGCCUAUUUUACAGUGAAAUUGAAAUUAAAGGUUUCCUUGAAAGUUUGGUAAAACUCGUCUUAGAAUGCAGUCGACAGAAAAUUGUUUACUUAUCUUCUCCUUUAUUUAUCUAAUACUUAAUCAAUUUAAACUCAAAUGUUUUAAAAAAUGGUCUUGUGAAUUGAGUAGUAUGCGUGAAUACUAGGGUGUUUCUUAUUUUUUAAAUUUUCGAAUUCGAAGGAGGUCCUGGUCUUAAAAGUUGAUGUGUGGAUAGAUUAGAAGCCUUGUGCAAGAAAAAAAAAUUUAAAAAAUUUUUACCCAGUGCUCAAACGACUUAAGUGACACAGGUUGAAAUUUGAGGUAAU
rnacentral:lncRNA from 1 species